CAGCCGCCGCGGGAAUACGAAGGGUGCAAGCGUUAAUCGGAAUUACUGGGCGUAAAGCGUGCGUAGGCGGUGAGUUAAGUCUGCUGUGAAAUCCCCGGGCUCAACCUGGGAAUGGCAGUGGCUACUGGCUCGCUAGAGUGUGUCAGAGGAUGGUGGAAUUCCCGGUGUAGCGGUGAAAUGCGUAGAGAUCGGGAGGAACAUCAGUGGCGAAGGCGGCCAUCUGGGACAACACUGACGCUGAGGCACGAAAGCGUGGGGAGCAAACAGGAUUAGAUACCCGUGUAGUCCCUGUCUCUUAUAC
rnacentral:rRNA from 1 species